CGUUGUGGUCUUCUACAAAAGUGCAGCAGUGACAAGAGGGGGCCCUGGAACACAGAGCUAAAUUCUACUGAAUCAUACUAUGUCCUCUAUUCUUUUCUUAGGAUGUUGUCAACCAUCACUAAGAAGCCUACUGAAUCAAGGCUGCAAACAGAGAGCUUUAUAAGCCAAAGGGAAACCCCAAAGCCAUGCCAUUCUACAUCCACAUCCACAUGCAGUGUGAAUUCAGCAGCUGAAGACCUCCGUUAGUAAGAUACGUGUCACAAAAGUUACCCGAUCCAUUCCUUGUAUUAAGCUUAGUGACAUACUUGAUAUUAAGCACACCUCUAUCUUCAAGUCAAUAAAGACAGAAAGAGCAGCAUUUUAAAAAAUUUCAAUCUGAUUCAUUUCUUUCUCUUACAUUAAUAGGUUUUGGCAAAUAAAGUUUUGUAAAGUCCAGACAGAAA